AUCUCUAAUCUGGAAUUUUCAACAAUGGGGCUGGUGGGUCAGGGUGCACCAGAUCUCAGGAGGUUUAUCCAGAAGACUUUCAAGUGCCCCAAGAGGCUGAGUGGUCCGCCAAGUGCCUGCAUGUGUGCAGUCAGGAAGCUUGAGUCUGGGUUCUGCCUGGGGCAAGUCACUACAACUCCCAGAGCCUCAUUUCUGCUAUUCGUAAAAUGGAGAAGACACCUCCUAUGAUAUCAAGUCACUGACUUGUUCCCAGGGUCCUGCUGACACCUUGAUUUUAGCCCAGUGAGAUCCACUUCAGACUUCUGACCUCCAGAACUGUGAGAACAUAAAUCUGUGUUGCUUUAAGUUGCUCAGUUUGAGGAGUUUGUUGCAGUGGAAAUAGGCUACUAACACAGGUUGGCUACUGCAAUAACCCAAGUGGGAGUUGGCAGCGGCUUGGAUGGGAGUGGUGGCAGAGAAAGUGCCAGGAAGUGGUUGGAUUUUGGACAUGAUCUGAAGUGAAGUCAAUGAGAUUUACCGACAAACAAGGUAUUUGAUUGGGUUUGAAAGAACGGGAAGUCAAUGUGAGUCUCAGUGGAGAGGAGACUUUGAGUUUCCGUAAAGAGGCAGUAGAAUUUGAAAAAGUGCCCCUAAGAGACUGAGCACUUUCUUUUUCCCCCUUCCAGCCCCACCCCUCAUCAUACCCAAAGACCAGUGAUCCGGACUAAAACCAUGCCCAGUGGGUUUUGUGGGCUAUUUUUCUAGACCUACCCCCAAAGGUUGGCCUUUAAGAUAUUGUCACUUCGAUGAAAAGAAUGAUCAAGAAACAAAUUAUUGAAUUAUGCGAUUUACAGCAUCGUUCCUAUCCUCCUGACUGUGAAAGAAAGAGAAUCCUUGAACCUCCCUCCUCCCUUUCUUUCCAAGGGAAACUUUGAAUUUGUUAGCUCAAUGCCUGGGCAGGAACAUCUACUGAGAGAGGCCAGAACAUUUCCAUCAAAGAGGAGGCAAAUAUCUAGUGAGAGAAAAAAGUAGUUCCAAGACUGGGGGCUGGGGCACCAAAAGAAGUUGAGAGCCACCUGCAUGGUUUACUGGAGAAGUGUUGGCAGCAAGCUGGAAAUGAAACGGAGAGAGACUCUUUGAUCCACAAGGUCUGUGAGCAAGAUUGAAAGGAAAGAAAGGAAAAGAGGGUUUUAAGCCACGUUGUCAUGGAUUGGAACUGUAUCUUCUGUGAUAUUCUUUGAGAACAUCGGUAAACAUUGGAAUUGCUUGUGCUAAAAAAUGAAAUUACAUUGCUUAGCCUUGAAACUGUGCAACCUUUCAACUGCUGAUGAAAACAACCUCAGCAAGAUGAAAAUUUCUCCAUUUUCCUGAAACUAUUCUGCAUCAUAAAAUUCAUUGCAGGUGGUACCUUUAAAAAUAAAAGACUUGUAAAAAAUGU
rnacentral:lncRNA from 10 species